rnacentral:rRNA from 1 species
UACGUAGGGACCAAGCGUUGUUCGGAUUUACUGGCGUAAAGGGCGCGUAGGCGGCGUGACAAGUCACUUGUGAAAUCUCUGAGCUUAACUCAGAACGGCCAAGUGAUACUGUUGUGCUAGAGUGCAGAAAGGGCAAUCGGAAUUCUUGGUGUAGCGGUGAAAUGCGUAGAUAUCAAGAGGAACACCUGAGGCGAAGGCGGGUUGCUAGGCUGACACUGACGCUGAGGCGCGAAAGCGUGGGGAGCAAACAGG